ensembl:lncRNA
AGGGAGGCUCAGAGGAAGAUCGAUCUCUCAGCUUGGGUGAGCAGUAAUCCUAAAGAGAGGCUGAGAGCUGCUCUGCUCUCCCGGUCUUCAUUCAGUUCCUGGCAGCUGCAGGAAUAACAGUGUUUUUUGAUAGCUGUUAGGUCUUAGUGGUGGAGUUUCGCAUCCUGGUGUUGCUGACCAGGCUGACCCAUGGAGCAGAUCCCCGCUCGGAGUCAUUUGUUUUCAUUCAAAGAAAUGAAUGCUAUGUGAAGCCUGAAGAGUAAUAACACAGCAAAAUGACAACGGAAGAGCGAGACGGAAAUCUGAAAGAUACAAUGGCAGGUUGGUAACCUCUAAAGAUCACCGCUGUUGUGAGCAGUACUGUAUUAUUUAAUGUCCAGUCUGGCUUGCAGCUCCAUUUAAUAAAACAUAUGAAAAUCUCUGGGAAAUUUGGUCUUGCAUUUAAAGCCCGGCUGUUCUGCUGAAAAGGGAUAAUCUGGAUACGCUGAGAUUAUUUCCCACUAUCUGACAAGGAGGAAGAAAUUAAUACGUAUUCUUUCUGCUUCUUAAGACAAUGACACGAGUCAGUGUACCCCUGGGUUCAUGAAGGAGUGACAAAUGAGACUUUAUUUAUAGGCCUUUUAGUGAACUAGGCAGGAGGUUAUGGCUGGAAAACCCAAAUGACCUCCUCUGACCCAUGAAUAGCUGCAGAAAAAGAACUUGGGGACAAGAAGAGCCUGGGCUCACCCCAUUGUCAUCGUGUGAUGUUUCACCCAUCAAGUGUGGCGACAGCAAAGAUCAUGGGUGAAACCCUAACGGGGCUUGGCUCCAAAGGGCUCAGCAUCAUCUGGGAAGAGGCAAAAUCACAGAAUCACAGCACAGCUCGGGUUGGAAGGGACCUCAAGGAUCAUGAAGCUCCAAGCCCCCAUUCAAGUUGUCUUCACGCAGCCAAGCUCAGUACACCCACACAUGCACCCAUCUCUCAGCCCCACAACACCUCUUGAGUCUCCCAUUACCUCCCAGGCACCAACCUCCCCCCAAAAUCCUGAAAAACAAAUAAACGAAGGGAGGCUG